rnacentral:lncRNA from 1 species
GUUAGGUUAGAACAGGACAGGGGUGAAGGGUUAGGUUAGAACAGGACAGGGGUUAAGGGUUAGGUUAGAACAGAACUGAGGUGAAGGGUUAGAACAGGACUGGGUUGAAGGGUUAGAUUAGAACAGGACUGGGGUGCAGGGUUAGGUUAGAACAGGACUGGGGUGAAGGGUUAGGUUAGAACAGGACAGGGGAGAAGGGUUAGAACAGGACUGGGGUGAAAGGGGUUAGGUUAGAACAGGACAGGGGUGAAGGGUUAGAACAGGACUGGGGUUAAGGGUUAGGUUAGAACAGGACUGGGGUGAAGGGUUAGGUUAGAACAGGACUGGGGUGAAGGGUUAGGUUAGAACAGGACAGGGGUGAAGGGUUAGGUUAGAACAGGACUGGGGUGAAGGGUUAGGUUAGAACAGGACUGGGGUGAAGGGUUAGGUUAGAACAGGACAGGGGUGAAGGGUUAGGUUAGAACAGGACUGGGGUGAAGGGUUAGGUUAGAACAGGACUGAGUGAAGGGUUAGAUUAGAACAGGACAGGGGUGUAGGGUUAGAACAGGACUGGGGAGGGGGUUAGGUUAGAACAGGACACGGGUGAGGGGUUAGAUUAGAACAGGACAGGGUGAAGGGUUAGAACAGGACAG